GAUGAACGCUGGCGGCGUGCCUAAUACAUGCAAGUCGAGCGAACAGAUGAGGAGCUUGCUCCUCUGACGUUAGCGGCGGACGGGUGAGUAACACGUGGAUAACCUACCUAUAAGACUGGGAUAACUUCGGGAAACCGGAGCUAAUACCGGAUAAUAUAUUGAACCGCAUGGUUCAAUAGUGAAAGACGGUUUUGCUGUCACUUAUAGAUGGAUCCGCGCCGCAUUAGCUAGUUGGUAAGGUAACGGCUUACCAAGGCAACGAUGCGUGGCCGACCUGAGAGGGGGAUCGGCCACACGAGAAGUGAGACACGGUCCAGACUCCUGCGGGAGGCAGCAGUAGGGAAUCUUCCGCAAUGGGCGAAAGCCUGACGGAGCGACGCCGCGUGAGUGGUGAAGGUCUUCGGAUCGUAAAACUCUGUUAUUAGGGAAGAACAGAUGUGUAAGUAACUAUGCACGUCUUGACGGUACCUAAUCAGAAAGCCACGGCUAACUACGUG
rnacentral:rRNA from 1 species